rnacentral:rRNA from 1 species
GGGGAAUCUUGCACAAUGGGCGGAAGCCUGAUGCAGCGACGCCGCGUGCGGGACGAAGGCCUUCGGGCUGUAAACCGCUUUCAGCAGGGACGAGGCGCAAGUGACGGUACCUGCAGAAGAAGCCCCGGCUAACUACGUGCCAGCAGCCGCGGUAAUACGUAGGGGGCAAGCGUUAUCCGGAUUCAUUGGGCGUAAAGCGCGCGUAGGCGGCCAGCCUGGUCGGGAGUCAAAUCCGGGGGCUCAACCCCCGUCCGCUCCCGAUACCGGCCGGCUUGAGUCUGGCAGGGGAAGGCGGAAUUCCCGGUGUAGCGGUGGAAUGCGCAGAUAUCGGGAAGAACACCGGUGGCGAAGGCGGCCUUCUGGGCCACGACUGACGCUGAGGCGCGAAAGCUAGGGGAGCGAAC